rnacentral:rRNA from 1 species
AGGGUUUGAUCAUGGCUCAGAACGUACGCUGGCGGCACGCCUAACACAUGCAAGUCGAACGAAGUAGCAAUACUUAGUGGCAGACGGGUGAGUAACAUGUGGGUAUCUGCCCUUUGGCCUGGAAUAACACGAGGAAACUUGUGCUAAUACCGGAUAAGUCUUUACGGAGAAAGCUUUAUGCACCAUUGGAUGAGCCCGCACUUGAUUAGUUUGUUGGUGGGGUAAUGGCCUACCAAGACUGUGAUCAAUAGCUGAUUUGAGAGGAUGAUCAGCCACAUUGGGACUGAGACACGGCCCAAACUCCUACGGGAGGCAGCAGUGGGGAAUCUUGCACAAUGGAGGAAACUCUGAUGCAGCGAUGCCGCGUGAGUGAAGAAGGCCCUUGGGUUGUAAAGCUCUUUCGUCGGGGAAGAAAAUGACUGUACCCGAAUAAGAAGGUCCGGCUAACUUCGUGCCAGCAGCCGCGGUAAUACGAAGGGACCUAGCGUAGUUCGGAAUUACUGGGCUUAAAGAGUUCGUAGGUGGUUGAAAAAGUUAGUGGUGAAAUCCCAGAGCUUAACUCUGGAACUGCCAUUAAAACUUUUCAGCUAGAGUAUGAUAGAGGAAAGCAGAAUUUCUAGUGUAGAGGUGAAAUUCGUAGAUAUUAGAAAGAAUACCAAUUGCGAAGGCAGCUUUCUGGAUCAUUACUGACACUGAGGAACGAAAGCAUGGGUAGCGAAGAGGAUUAGAUACCCUCGUAGUCCAUGCCGUAAACGAUGUGUGUUAGACGUUGGAAAUUUAUUUUCAGUGUCGCAGCGAAAGCGAUAAACACACCGCCUGGGGAGUACGACCGCAAGGUUAAAACUCAAAUGAAUUGACGGGGACCCGCACAAGUAGUGGAGCAUGUGGUUUAAUUCGAAGAUACGCGCAGAACCUUACCAACACUUGACAUGUUCGUCGCGACUCUAAGAGAUUGGAGUUUUCGGUUCGGCCGGACGAAACACAGGUGCUGCAUGGCUGUCGUCAGCUCGUGUCGUGAGAUGUUGGGUUAAGUCCCGCAACGAGCGCAACCCUCACUUUUAGUUGCCAUCAUUAAGUUGGGCACUCUGAAAGAACUGCCAGUGAUAAGCUGGAGGAAGGUGGGGAUGACGUCAAGUCCUCAUGGCCCUUACGUGUUGGGCUACACACGUGCUACAAUGGUAUCUACAACAGGAAGCAAGACUGCGAGGUCAAGCAAAUCCUUAAAAGAUACCUCAGUUCGGAUUGCACUCUGCAACUCGAGUGCAUGAAGCUGGAAUUACUAGUAAUCGUGGAUCAGCGUGCCACGGUGAAUGCGUUCCCGGGUCUUGUACACACCGCCCGUCACACCAUGGGAGUUGGUUCUACCUUAAGGCAAGGUUUAAAACCCUUGACCACGGUAUAGUCAGCGACUGGGGUGAAGUCAUAACAAGGUAGCCGUA